GACGAACGCUGGCGGCGUGCUUAACACAUGCAAGUCGAGCGGUAAGGCCCUUCGGGGUACACCAGCGGCGAACGGGUGAGUAACACGUGGGUGACCUGCCCUCCACUCUGGGAUAAGCCUGGGAAACCGGGUCUAAUACCGGAUCUGACCUCCGCAUGCAUGUGCGGUGGGGGAAAGUUCUGGCGGUGGGGGGUGGGCCCGCGGUCUAUCAGCUUGUUGGUGGGGUGAUGGCCUACCAAGGCGACGACGGCUAGCCGGCCUGUGAGGGUGAUCGGCCACACUGGGACUGGGACACGGCCCAGAGUGAUACGGGAGGCAGCAGUGGUGAAGCUUGCGCAAUGGGCGGAAGCCGGACGCAGGAACGCGGCGUGGGGGAUGACGGCCUUCGGGUUGUAAUUCUCUGGGGAGAACGACGAAGCGCGUACUUCUGGUACGGGUGACGGUAGGGGGAGAAGAAGCACCGGCUAACUACGUG
rnacentral:rRNA from 1 species